rnacentral:rRNA from 1 species
UACGUAGGCAGCGAGCGUUGUUCGGAGUUACUGGGCGUAAAGGGUGUGUAGGCGGUUGUUUUAAGUUUGGUGUGAAAUCUCCCGGCUCAACUGGGAGGGUGCGCCGAAUACUGAAUGACUUGGAGUGCGGGAGAGGAAAGUGGAAUUCCUGGUGUAGCGGUGAAAUGCGUAGAUAUCAGGAGGAACACCGGUGGUGUAGACGGCUUUCUGGACCAUAACUGACGCUGAGACACGAAAGCGUGGGUAGCAAACAGG